rnacentral:rRNA from 1 species
AUUGAACGCUGGCGGCAGGCCUAACACAUGCAAGUCGAGCGAGCGGCGGACGGGUGAGUAAUGUCUGGGAAACUGCCUGAUGGAGGGGGAUAACUACUGGAAACGGUAGCUAAUACCGCAUACCAUCAGAUGUGCCCAGAUGGGAUUAGCUAGUAGGUGUGGUAACGGCUCACCUAGGCGACGAUCACUAGCUGGUCUGCUGGGAUGACCAGCCAACCGGGAACUGAGACACGGCCCGGACUCCUACGGGAGGCAGCAGUGGGGAAUAUUGCCCAAUGGGGGCAAGCCUGAUGCGGCCAUGCGGGGUGUGUGAAGAGGGCCUUCGGGUUGUAAGGCACUUUCAGCGGGGAGGCGUUACCCGCCGAAGAAGCACCGGCUAACUCCGUGCCAGCCGCCGCGGUAAUAC